UAAGGUCUUGGUUAAUGCAAAAUGUCUAUAUUUACACGUUUGUAUUUCGCGCUGCUAUCACGUCAGCACCACCGCGUGCAUUUUUCGAACCAUCUCUAUUCUAACCCCUAUCCCCACACCGGUGUGACGUGGCUUUUUAAUCUUUAUUAUACACGCGUCAGAUUCUGAAAUUAUAAUUUUAAAAAAAUCCAAAAUUCUUCAUUAAAUUCCCGCUUUUUUUUAACACGUAACAAACGAAUUCAACAAUUGAUGUUGUUGUUGUUGCGUAGUUUUGCUCUUGGACGAAGAGUGCGAUUUGGAAAGCGAUUCGAAGAUGUUUUUUGAUGGUAGAGAGUAUCGACCCCUGCCCCAUCCUCCUGGGGAGGGAUUGGAUGUGGAUGUGCGAAGAUUCGUCAGUCCACAAAAUUUGGAUUAUGUUAAGUUUCGAGGCAGAAAGUUGAAGAAAGGCCUCUCGAAGCAGUACGAACCCUCGACCGGUGCUUUCGAAGGUUUGGACGUUUUUGAAAAUAACAUCAAGCCUGCUUAUAGAAAAGCUGUGAUGAAGGUUCGACCAAUCUGUCAGACGGCCUGCCAACGUUUUAACAGUGAGAGAUUGGUCGAAGAUGUGGAGGAUGAAGGAGUGAACAAUAGAGAGAGCGUGAUUCCUCCACGAAGCACCAAAGAGAACGAAGACCCGGCAGAGCACGAAGAUUGCGUGCAAGAUAAUCCUGGCCAUUCCAGGGAUAGAAAUACAUUGAAGAAAGUCGGGUCGUUCUUUAAGAGCAUGUGGAAACCCGUUAAGAGAUCCGUGCAGAAGGUGUGUAAAAUGGCCAGAAGUGGAGAAUGCGAGUACGUUCGGUUCGAGUAAGGAUCUCUUUGCUUCCAUCUGUCAAAUUCGACAAUAAGAUCUGCUCUGUGAUUUGCUGGAUCUGGGCCGAGUUGGCUAAUUAUAGGUUUUUUUCUGCAAACCAUCGAUGACUUCUCCUGAUUUUGACAUCCCGAUUGCGUCAAUGCCAAGUUCGAUUAUGACUUCCCAAUUUUGACUUUAUCCCGGCUGUGUCUCCUUAUUAUUGUCUUUUAGUCAAUUAUCAUUUACCCGAAUUGGUCUACACGAAUUUGGACUCUCGAUUUAUGUCUACUUCACGAAUCUGGACUCUCCCGAAUUACGUCUACCCCGAAUUUGACUCCUCAAUUGUGCCUGUACUCGAAUUGGACUCUCCCGAAUUAUGUCAACCCCGGAUUUGACUCAUGAAUGGUGUCUGCACUCGAAUAUGGACUCUCCCGAAUUACGUCUACCCCUAAUUUGAUUCAUGAAUGGUGUCUAAACUCGAAUUUGGACUCACCCGAAUUACGUCUAUCUCGAAUUUGACUUCAGAAUCCUGUCUAUAUUGGAAUUUGGACUCUUCCGGCUUGUGUCUGUGCUCAAAUUUGACUCCCAAUUUUUGUCAUCCCUGGAACUUGGACUCUCCGGAAUUGUGUUUUAAUUUGUUAUUGGAACGACACGCUCAACAAAUUGAUAUUUGUUAUUCAGACACUAGUAAAAGGAUUAAUUGCAAAACAAAUUUUUUAUACAUAAAACGUUUGAUAAAUUAAUUGAUUAUUAAUAUAUUAAUUAAUAAUUUUAAUCUCAAUUAUAAAUUGUUGUAUAUUUAUAUUUGUAAAACAUUAAUAGUAAUUGUUACGGCCUAAUUAAGGCAUCCAAGCGAUAGUCGAGAGCUCUCGCACACAUUAAAAUAUGUGUUUGGACCUAUAUAAAUGUUAUUAAAAGUCUGUUUAAAAAUGCCUCGAUAAAGAAUAAAACUUAUGUAAUUUGUAAAAACAUAAUGUUUGCAAAAAUAAAACAGUUUCUGCAGAUCUAAUCUUUUUCUGUUCUUUUGUAAGCGCAUUCCUU
rnacentral:misc_RNA from 1 species